rnacentral:lncRNA from 1 species
UAUGCUACCGACCAGCCUAAUCUGGGGACUUCGUGCCUCAUUUUCUGCAAAUUAAUGCACACAAUCAUGAUUAUAUUCGUUGGGAUUAUGGAAAACCCGAUGAAAUUUUUGGUGAGGCUUGUCUUAAGGGGUCAUUAUGUAGACAAUAUAUUAACCCGGCUAGUUUUGACCAUUAUGCAUGCACAAUUAAUUAGAGUAAGGUUUCUAUAGAGGUCUACAAUGGGACCCUCAAGCAGACAACUUGAGGGGGAAAGGAACGGAACCGUCGAAUGCACCAGUGAUCGAAUAGUUUUACCGUAAAUACACCAUUUCAUUUUUAAAAGUUGAUAUAUAGGAAGAGCGCAAACACUCAUCAAGCGUUGCUAUAGUAUUACUAUGCAUGAGUGGAAUAUGAUGUUGAGCAUGAUUUAUGCAACUAUAAUAGAAUUUUGUCAAGUAUUUGUACGUUAAAAAUGAUAAAUGUAAUAUUUAAAUAAUUAAAAGACAGUUACUAAAAAAGAAAAAGAAGAGACAAGUCAGUUUCAGGAAAUAAAGGAAAUCAUAGAUGCUUGAAAAAUAAGCAAUUAAAUCCAAAUAAAAGGGAAGGGUGUACAGGAUAAAGCAUGCCUAUGACUAAUUCACAAAAACAAGUUCGUUAUGGAAAGAGCCUAAAAUAUCCCCAGUAGAGUCACCAUGUUAUCGCGCCCCCUUUUUCCUUGCAUAGUUUGGGUUUCGACAUUCAUGGGGGAACAACGCAUUUCCUUUUGAGAAUUGGGUAUUUGAACUUGAAG